AUUGAACGCUGGCGGCAGGCCUAACACAUGCAAGUCGAGCGGAUGACGGGAGCUUGCUCCUUGAUUCAGCGGCGGACGGGUGAGUAAUGCCUAGGAAUCUGCCCGGUAGUGGGGGACAACGUUUCGAAAGGAACGCUAAUACCGCAUACGUCCUACGGGAGAAAGCAGGGGACCUUCGGGCCUUGCGCUAUCAGAUGAGCCUAGGUCGGAUUAGCUAGUUGGUGGGGUAAUGGCUCACCAAGGCGACGAUCCGUAACUGGUCUGAGAGGAUGAUCAGUCACACUGGAACUGACACACGGUCCAGACUCCUACGGGAGGCAGCAGUGGGGAAUAUUGGACAAUGGGCGAAAGCCUGAUUCAGCCAUGCCGCGUGUGUGAAGAAGGUCUUCGGAUUGUAAAGCACUUUAAGUUGGGAGGAAGGGCAGUAAGCUAAUACCUUGCUGUUUUGACGUUACCGACAGAAUAAGCACCGGCUAACUCUGUGCCAGCCGCCGCCGUAA
rnacentral:rRNA from 1 species